CGCGCCUGACCAAUGGCGCGCGGGCCCCCCUCCCCGGCUCACAUGACGCCUUUUUCUAUACCUUCUCCCUCCUCUCCGCUCUCAAACGCGGCGAGCCCGGGCAUCGAUGCAGACCUGACACCGGCUACAACCGGACGUCCAGCAGCUUUUCUCCCGGUGUUGACACGCUAUGUGCUUUUCUUUCCUUUAACAAAAAGAAAAGAAAAGAAAGAAAAGCAACACGAAGAUGCGCACGAUGACUCUCACACGCCCGAGGAAGGACGCACUUUUUCCGCCAGCAGACGACCGGAGAGACGCCAAAAAAAAAAAAAAAGAAAAAAAAAAAGAAAAGAAAAAAAAAACGCCCAUAAGUUGCCGAAUUGAACCGUCACGACUGGGGCUGCCAUAAGAGGAAGAAAACCAGCUCCAACCUUCAGGACGAGGGGAGGGAGAGGAAGGGAAGCCCCGGAGCAGAACGCGACAAGAAAAAAAAAGAAGACAAGAGUGAUAAAAGAGCGGUCCAGACAUGAUGGAGGCGCACACACACAACGAUAUCUUGACUCUGUCUGUGGUCUACCGCCAGGAUACUCCCACCCCUCGCCCCUCCUAGGCAUCCCUGCAUUUGCCGCCACACACACACACACACACACACAUACUGGUUAUCAUUUGGAAUCAGGACCAAGUUUUUGAUCAUCACUUGUGGGGACCACCCUUUCUACAGGUUGUGGAGGCAUAAAAAAAAUUUGGUAUAAUGGCAACUGCCCAGUUAGCUCAUACACGUCUUUAAAUCUCUGCAUUGAUGAAGUAAUGUGCUGAUCAUUCUUACUGGGGACCCUGGGGAAAAAAGUGUUAAUAUGGUUCACGGGGACCAAAUUUAAAUCAUUUUGCAUAAUUCACACAAAUUUGUACGUGACUACUGAGGACCAUUUAAGAAAAAAAAAAAAUCAAAUUAAAUAUGACAUGAUCCUCAGAAUACAGCACUACAGCUGUCCUCUUAUAGGAAGUUUCACCACUUAAAUGUUAAAGCAAAUCCUGCAUCUUCUGUGACAUUACUGAAAACUGCUAUUUAGCAGUAAUGAAGUUGUCUGCAACUCCAACUACCAUAUAUAGAAGGGUAUAGAAUGGAUCUGACUAUCAUUUAAAAAGGAGACCUGUUUUUUUGUCCCCAUACCGUCAGAGGUCCCCUAAAGGUGACUGUGUAAACGGAGCGAUGUCCCCAUUAAGUAAGCAUUGCCAGAACACACACACACACACACACACACACACACCAAACCCUUGCCUUUAACAUUACAGAGGGUAAAAGGGUUGUGAAUGCGAGAAAACACGCCGAUUAUCCGGUGUUAUUAUUCAAAUGGAAUGAAACUGGUGAUUUAUAUAUUUUUUUAGAGAAAUAUGUAUGAUUCAGCGAUUUCACAGAUUUAGUAGAAACCUCCUUUAUCAGAGUUGAUGUUAAAUCAGCCACCUUUUAUUUAAAACAAUCCCUUCUUUAUCGCUGUUGAUUGGGAAAAUAAAUAAAAAUCGAGUCACAUGCGAUUCGCGAUUCUUAUUUACCACGAUUCUAAAUCAAAUCACAAUUUUGUAAGAAUCGAUUUUUUUAAUACAUGUUAAAACUCUUAAAAGUCAGCAGAUAGAUACGCUUUUGUAUCCCGUAACCUGUUUUGAAACGGUUUCAUUCCAAUUUAUAUACCAAAUAUGUUGCGAGAAACGGUUUGAAAUGAGAAUACACCAAGAAUUGGACUCAAAUCUUGAGUUCAGAAUCUUUCCUGUGAUUGUAGACUACGAUGGAAUUGUGUGCAAUCCUGUUUAGUGCAACUUUAAUAAAAAAAUAAUAGUAAAAAAAAAAAAAAAAAUAUAUAUAUAUAUAUAUAUAUAUAUAUAUAUAUAUAUAUAUAUAUAUAGUAUUAUAUACUAUAGUCGUGGUUUCUGUGGUUUAUCCGUUAUACAGUGCUCAUAUACAGCGGAAUAUACGUUAGGUCAGGAAAAAACAAGAGGCUAUAUCAUCCCUACAAGCCUGUUUCGCAGGUUUCCCUUUUUAUAAAAUGCCCUGACGAGCAGGGAAACCUGCGAAAGGGAUGAUAUAGCCUCUUGUGAUUUUUCCUGACCAAACGUAUAGUAUUAUAUACUAUAUUAUUGAAUAUGUUCAUAGUUAGAGCAUAAAAAACAUGUUUACGGCCUUCCAAAUACAUUGUUAAUGUCAUGAAAUCCUUCUAGACAUGAAAUAACACCCCUUUAGUCACGUUUGUACUGUUUAAUCUGAUAUAAGGCUUCCUGAGGCUGAGCCAAUCAGUGGCCACAAUACUAAACAGCGCACUCUAAUGGCUUUGGUCUCUUCUUGUGGCCAAUACUACUGUAGUAUUGAUAUCUUUAGGUCAUUUAGCCACUUUUAAGCUUACACAAUGCCUGAUUUGGGCCAAACAUGUAGAAUAUGCUUACAAAAUCAUCUGCAGAGCUGCAAACUUCUAAGCGCGAUACGGCGAAGGAUUGUACUACGAAAUGUGUCUCUUGAGCCUCGUUCUGCAAGUACGCCUGCACAGGCUUCAACCUUAAGUGCGUGCAUGCUUCAACUCUUCUAUUUUCAGCCGUCCAAACCAAUCUCCUCCGGUUGAACAGCUGCACCGCAUGUCCCACAAACCCCCCCCCUUAACCGACCCCGCCCACACCGCCCCUGACCCGACGGGCGCCCCUCCCAAACCUCAGCAUCCUGCAUGCGCCCUCCAAAAAAACACAUGACCCCAAAUUAUGUCUGCCGACCCCCCCCCCCCUACUUUGCCAUAAGAUGAGUUCAGAACAGCUCGAAUUCCCCUGAUAUAUGCCCUGAAACUAUAAGACGCAGCCUUUCAGGACAUACGGUGCAUCCGGAAAGUAUUGAUUGAUUGAUUGAUUUAAACUUUAUUAGUAGAUUGCACAGUACAGUACAUAUUCCGUACAAUUGACCACUAAAUGGUAACACCCGAAUAAGUUUUUCAACUUGUUUAAGUCGAGGUCCACGUUAAUCAAUUCAUGGUAUUCACAGUGCUUCACUUUUCCCCCAUUUUGUUAUGUUACAGCGAGGGAUGUCCGAUAAUGGCUUUUUGCCGAUAUCCGAUAUUGUCCAACUCUAUAAUUAAUGAUACCGAUAUCAACCGAUACAGAUAUCAACCGAUAUACUGUAUACAGUCGUGGAAUUAACACAUUAUUAUGCCUAAUUUGGACAACCUGGUAUGGUAAAGAUAAGGUACUUAAAAAAAAAAAUUAUAAAAUAAAAUAAGAUAAAUAAAUUAAAAACAUUUUCUUGAAUAAAAAAAGAAAGUAAAACAAUAUAAAAACAGUUACAUAGAAACUAGUAAUAUUUUUCGUUUUCAAAACUAAUACUAUAUAUAGAUUUUUUUUUUAACCUUUUAGGGGUCCCCUCAAGUUUGGUCCCGGGGACUCGGAAGGGUCUCAGUCAUUAAAAUUAGGGAUGUCCGAUAAUGGCUUUUUGAUAUUCCGAUAUUGUCCAACUCUUUAAUUACCGAUACUGAUAUCAACCGAUACCGAUAUCAACCGAUAUAUACAGUCGUGGAAUUAACACAUUAUUAUGUCUAAUUUGGACAACCAGGUGAAGAUAAGGUACUUUAAAAAAAAAUUAAUAAGAUAAAUAAAUUAAAAUGUUCUUGAAUAAAAAAGAAAGUAAAACAAUAUAAAAACAGUUACAUAGAAACUAGUAAUUAAUGAAAAUGAGUAAAAUUAACUGUUAAAGGUUAGUACUAUUAGUGGACCAGCAGCACGCACAAUCAUGUGUGCUUACGGACUGUAUCCCUGCAGACUGUAUUGAUAUAUAUUGAUAUAUAAUGUAGGAACCAGAAUAUUAAUAACAGAAAGAAACAACCCGUUUGUGUGAAUGAGUGUAAUUGUGGUCCCCUUUAUUUAGAAAAGUACCGAAAAGUACCAAAAAGUAUCGAAAUACAUUUUCUGCAACCAGAAAAAUAAUUGUAACCAAACUUUUUUUUAUUUUAAUUUUUUUUUUUUUUUUUCUGUAUUUCAAAUCUAUUUUUUGUUUGAACAUAUUUUUUUUGGUUGCAAAUCCAUCAUUUUGUUCUAGGAGGGGGUAUUAAUGCAGUUUUUAUUUGGUUGCAAAAAAACACUUUUCUCUCCAUAGAUUUAAAAAAAAAAGAGUGCCAGUCAUGUUAUAGCUGCUCUCCUGUUAUUUAGAAAAGUACCGAAAAGUAUCGAAAUAUUGUUGGUACCGGUACCAACAUAUUGGUAUCGGGACAACACUAGACUGUAACAUAACAAAAUGUGGAGCGAGUGAAGCGCUGUGAAUACUUUCGGCAUGCACUGUAUUUAACAGUUCACAAUCAAGUGAAAGCAUGCAUUAAAGCUACUCGUUUUAAGCUAAGAAUUAACUGUAGCGUCACCACUCAGAUUCCAGCAGUUGGCUUUUGAAUAGAAUAGAGUUGUAUUGUCAUUAGUACAGUGAACAGGUUCAAAGAACAACAAAAUUGGAGCAGAUCCCCUAAAGUGCAUACACAAUAGUAUAGUAAUAUAAUAAUAAGUGAUAUAUAUAUAUAUAUAUAUAUAUACCUACGCAGUGGCCUAGUGGUUAGAGUGUCCGCCCUGAGAUCGGUAGGUUGUGAGUUCAAAGCCUGGCCGAGUCAUACCAAAGACUAUAAAAAAAAUGGGAUCCAUUACGUCCCUGCUUAGCACUCAGCAUCAUGGGUUGGAAUUGGGGGUUAAAUCACCAAAAAUAAUUCCCGGGCGCGGCGACCGCUGCUGCCCACUGCUCCCCUCACCUCCCAGGGGGUGAUCAAGGGUGAUGGGUCAAAAUGCAGAGAAUAAUUUCGUCACACCUAGUGUGUGUGUUUGACAAUCAUUGGUACAUUAACUGUAACUUUAUAAAUAGUAAAAAAGAUAAAAAAUAUAUUAAAAAAUA